rnacentral:rRNA from 1 species
AGGAUGAACGCUAGCGGCAGGCCUAAUACAUGCAAGUCGAACGGACAGUAGCAAUACUGUUAGUGGCGCACGGGUGCGUAACACGUAACUAACCUGCCCAAGACUGGGGGAUAGCCCGCCGAAAGGCGGAUUAAUACCGCAUAAUACUUUUAUCCGGCAUCGGGUGAUAGUUAAAUCUACGGAGGUCUUGGAUGGGGUUGCGGGUCAUUAGCUAGUUGGUAAGGUAACGGCUUACCAAGGCGACGAUGACUAGGGGAGCUGAGAGGCUGGUCCCCCACACGGGCACUGAGAUACGGGCCCGACUCCUACGGGAGGCAGCAGUAGGGAAUAUUGGGCAAUGGGCGAGAGCCUGACCCAGCCAUGCCGCGUGCAGGAAGAAGGCUUUCUGAGUCGUAAACUGCUUUUGAUAGGGAAGAAUAAGCCGUACGUGUACGGUGAUGACGGUACCUACAGAAUAAGCACCGGCUAACUCCGUGCCAGCAGCCGCGGUAAUACGGAGGGUGCGAGCGUUGUCCGGAUUUAUUGGGUUUAAAGGGUGCGUAGGCGGCCCGUUAAGUCCGGGGUGAAAGCCCGUUGCUCAACAACGGAACUGCCCUGGAUACUGGCGGGCUUGAGACUAGUGGAGGUU